rnacentral:rRNA from 1 species
AUUGAACGCUGGCGGCAUGCCUUACACAUGCAAGUCGAACGGCAGCACGGGAGCAAUCCUGGUGGCGAGUGGCGAACGGGUGAGUAAUAUAUCGGAACGUGCCUAGUCGUGGGGGAUAACGUAGCGAAAGCUACGCUAAUACCGCAUACGAUCUAUGGAUGAAAGCGGGGGAUCGCAAGACCUCGCGCGAUUGGAGCGGCCGAUAUCAGAUUAGGUAGUUGGUGAGGUAAAGGCUCACCAAGCCGACGAUCUGUAGCUGGUCUGGGAGGACGACCGGCCACACUGGGAGUGAGAAACGGCCCAGACUCCUACGGGAGGCAGCAGUGGGGAAUUUUGGACAAUGGGCGCAAGCCUGAUCCAGCAAUGCCGCGUGCAGGAUGAAGGCCUUCGGGUUGUAAACUGCUUUUGUACGGAACGAAACGGUGAGCUCUAAUACAGUUUGCUAAUGACGGUAUCGUAAGAAUAAGCACCGGCUAACUACGUGCCAGCCGCCGCCGUAAAAC